rnacentral:rRNA from 1 species
AGUGAACGCUGGCGGUAGACCUAACACAUGCAAGUCGAACGGCAGCACAGUAAGAGCUUGCUCUUACGGGUGGCGAGUGGCGGACGGGUGAGGAAUACAUCGGAAUCUACUUUUUCGGGGGGGAUAACGUAGGGAAACUUACGCUAAUACCGCAUACGACCUACGGGUGAAAGCAGGGGAUCUUCGGACCUUGCGCGAUUGAAUGAGCCGAUGUCGGAUUAGCUAGUUGGCGGGGUAAAGGCCCACCAAGGCGACGAUCCGUAGCUGGUCUGAGAGGAUGAUCAGCCACACUGGAACUGAGACACGGUCCAGACUCCUACGGGAGGCAGCAGUGGGGAAUAUUGGACAAUGGGCGCAAGCCUGAUCCAGCCAUACCGCGUGGGUGAAGAAGGCCUUCGGGUUGUAAAGCCCUUUUGUUGGGAAAGAAAAGCAGCAGGUUAAUACCCCGCUGUUCUGACGGUACCCAAAGAAUAAGCACCGGCUAACUUCGUG